GGCUAGUAGGAAUAACACCAUGAAAGGUUACUCAAGAAGGGGUAGAGCCAGAGGAGGAGAUAGUGAGCAUAUACCCUAGUCAUUCAGGAGUUGAGUACAUCUUUCCAACGACGUCAGGUUUCUCGAUGGGGAGAAUGUACAAGAUCAAAACCUACAAAAAGGUACUAAAGUUAUGAAUCUACCUCGACAAUCAGAGACAAUAGUACUCACUAUCGACUCAUUGGAGGAAUGCUUGAUGUAUCGAAAACUGGUGAAAGAGAUCAGGGAAAAACAUGCAACUCUUAAGCAGAUAUUUAACCUGAGCAUAUUCUGCAAAGUAUUAAUCUUCAACCAAACACCUCAAAAGUUUGAUAAUGUAGAGGUUUCCUGGAUACUAAUAAAGAUCGGGAAAGUGAGUAUUGACGAAAGUUAUAAUUACAAAGUUGUUACUGGACAUGUAGUACCACCAAAAAAUCUGGAACAAAGGCUAAAAAAAAUACAAAGCACUUGAUUCCUACAAGAGCCACCCAAUAAAAAUGUGACUUGACAUGUAGGAAAACCUGAAGACGCCUAGAAUCCACCAUAAAGUUAGGUUGUAUGUAACGAAUCUAUUAUUAGAAUGUUUGAGGUAAACUCCAAAAAACUCCUCUCACUGAAUGAGUUCUUUAAAAAAUUUAUCCGACUUAGGCAUGAAAAAUAUUUGUACUAUAUUAUGCAAAACCAGGAUAGAAAAAAUGUCUAAGGAUGUUACACUAUUAUUUGAUCUUAAAAAUGGCUAACUGCCAUGACUUGCAAAAAGAACUUUCAAUGGUCAAUGUAGGACGGAAGAGUAAAUUCAAUGAGCAAAAUAAAAGAAGAAGAGUAGAAUGGCACGAUGGAUGCUGGACGAACACCAAUAGAAAAGAAAUAGGAAGAGCAUUCAUAGGCACACUGAUUGAGCUAACAGAUCAAUCUGACAGCAAAACCCAAAAAUUUCUUCAAACUUUAAUUUUAUGUAUAUUAUUAUACAUUUAACUUUAAUUUUCUUCAAAUUUACGUUUUAUAGGAACUGUGCCAUUUUAGAAAUUUGAAUUUGGUGUAAAAAUAGAGUUAGUGUCACAACAUGGUGGCUCCAUGUCGCAACACCAAGGCCGGAAUAAAAGGAAUAGAGAAAACCAAUUUGAUAUCGUGACACAGAAGACAGUAUACCCAGGUUUCAAAAAUUUCAGAGUGUGCCAUGACAUCAAACCCCGUUGUCGUGACAAUGGCAAACUGCCAGGGAUGGACUAAACCUUAUUUUACUCAGUUUUUAACCCUCAUUUUAAAAAUUAAAAAUAGUUUAACUUCAACAUUAUCAACAUUCUGAACACUCUAAAAACUCUCAAACAUCCCAAAAAAUCAGUUUCAUCAAAGGCCUAAAUACCCAAAACUUCCAUUGUCACCUAUCAAGCUUUAUUUGGGCAAAAAAGCAUUAACCACUUGGACAAUAAGCAUCAAAGAUUGAAAGAAAGCUAAGGUUAAGUAUUCCUUUACCUGUUUUAUUAUUCUAUCAAUUACUGCUAAUUUUUAUUUGAUUAUUUUAGAACUAAAGUACUGGAAAAUAACGCCUAGAAAGAGUAGGAAACCCAAAUUCCAAAAUCCAAAUGUAGAGAAAUAUUUUCUUGAAUUAUAGGAAAGAUUGCUUACACAAGAAAGAGGGUUCGAACCCUCAGUGGUUCUAUGCAAAGAAAUUUGGACAAUAGUCAAGGACCAUCGAUGGGAGUGAUUUUGUGUCACUCCUACAGAAAAUGCUAUCAUACUAGUUGUACAAGAAUUUUACGCCUCUUUUAGAAAGCAAGAAAUGAGAAAAAGGCAAGAUGAAAGUUAGGACACUAUAAUGGUGAGAGGAUAAGUAUCGAUUACACUUAGAGCGGUAUUUGAGUUUUACGAUGUCCCUUACUAUGGCAAAGACUUCCUUAAUAACACUAAUUUGAAUACACUUGGGGAUAUAAAAAUGUAUGAUGUCAUUAAGUACUUAGCUCAGGGUAGAGGUACAUGGAAUUAUAGGCCAAAUACCUCCUUACCAACUAAUUUCAAUCAAGCAAUAAUGUUUUCGGUAGCGAAAAUAUGGAUGCAAUUCAUAGGUACUAGAAUUGCGCCUGUAUUGAAUGUUUCUAACGUUAACACUUUUUUGCUCUAUACUUUUGUAUGGUAUUUUGUGGCACAAGCAAAUAUGUGUGGUCAAGUGGAUUUAUCGCGAGGUGAAGUGUUGUGUGAAUAGCCAAAAAGUUGGGAUUUUCUUUCCCCACCUUGUGACAAAACUGUAUCGAAAAGUAAAAGUUCUGAUGGGAGGGAAUGAGUAGUUCAGGAAGCCAAAAAAUAUCAUAGUUGGAGAUUCAUUAUAUAAGCAAUAUGUUGAGCUUCAGAGGAAACAAAUUAUUGAUUCGUACCAGAGGAAGAAAAAAAUAUGGAUGUUCUGGUGUCACUCAAACAGAAUGAGCGAUCGAAAGCUCAAACAGGGGCAAGUGGGAACAUCAAAUAAAAAAUCAUUGGAAUGAUCAGGUGGGUGCAGGAGGCAAGCUCGAUACUUCACCCGAUUGAAUGGGUUAAGAGCACCAAAUUAUUCGUCGGACAUAUUCGGCCCAACACAGACCCAUCAUAGAGCUGACAUGCACCUUCGACGGGAGGGACUUCCCAUCAUGAAUAUGGCUCAGGAAAGGGAAAAGCACCGAUGGAAAGGAGGCAUUCAC
rnacentral:lncRNA from 1 species